UGCGUAGGUGGUUGUUUAAGUCUGUUGUGAAAGCCCUGGGCUCAACCUGGGAACUGCAGUGGAUACUGGACGACUAGAGUGUGGUAGAGGGUAGCGGAAUUCCUGGUGUAGCAGUGAAAUGCGUAGAGAUCAGGAGGAACAUCCAUGGCGAAGGCAGCUACCUGGACCAACACUGACACUGAGGCACGAAAGCGUGGGGAGCAAACA
rnacentral:rRNA from 1 species